rnacentral:rRNA from 1 species
AUAGCCGCAGUAUUCUAACUGUGCUAAGGUAGCAUAACAAAUUGUUUUAUAAUAGAAAACUGGAAUGAAAGAGUUGACAUUAUUAAAGCUUUUCUCAAGUAUACCAUAUAAAUUGAUAUUUUCAUCAAAAAGUGAAAAUUUUUAGAAAGACGAUAAGACCCUAUAAAGCUUUAUUAUGAACUAAAUUUAUAUUUUGAAUUAACUAAAAAAUUAAUUAAUAAUUAAGCUGGGGCGGCGUCUAAAAUCCUUUAGAAAAUAUAACACUAAUUUGUGAUUAAAAAGAUCUUAAAAAAAAGAUAGAACAAGCUACUUUAGGGAUAACAGCACAAUUUUUCCAUAAAGUUCUUAUUGACGGAAAAGACUUGUGACCUCGAUGUUGAAUUGAAGUGCCUAA